rnacentral:rRNA from 1 species
AGUGAACGCUGGCGGUAGGCCUAACACAUGCAAGUCGAACGGCAGCACAGUAAGAGCUUGCUCUUACGGGUGGCGAGUGGCGGACGGGUGAGGAAUACAUCGGAAUCUACUUUUUCGUGGGGGAUAACGUAGGGAAACUUACGCUAAUACCGCAUACGACCUACGGGUGAAAGCAGGGGAUCUUCGGACCUUGCGCGAUUGAAUGAGCCGAUGUCGGAUUAGCUAGUUGGCGGGGUAAAGGCCCACCAAGGCGCCGAUCCGUAGCUGGUCUGAGAGGAUGAUCAGCCACACUGGAACUGAGACACGGUCCAGACUCCUACGGGAGGCGGCAGUGGGGAAUAUUGGACAAUGGGCGCAAGCCUGAUCCAGCCAUACCGCGUGGGUGAAGAAGGCCUUCGGGUUGUAAAGCCCUUUUGUUGGGAAAGAAAAGCAGCAGGUUAAUACCCCGCUGUUCUGACGGUACCCAAAGAAUAAGCACCGGCUAACUUCGUG